GCUGAGAGCAGAGCAGCUGGGAGAAAUUUUUUAAAAAAUAGCCCUCUCUCUCCACGCUCACUCUCUCUCUUUCGCGCUCCCAAUCGAAUUCAAGAUCUGGAAUUCGCUCUGCGCUCCGUCUCCCUCACGCCGACGAGCGAGGUCCGUCUCCUCACCCCGACGCCGACGCCGCCUCACUCCGACGAUUUCUCUGUCUUGCAGUUCGAGCCACGAAGCUUGGAGCAGCAGGAGCAGCAGGAGGGGACAAGGCUCAUAUCAACAAGUGGCGCUCCGGAGUUUGGAAACCAAGCUUCCGAGAUAAUGCUUCACGAGGUUGGCAUUCUCUAAUGCUCGUGCGUACAGAGGUUUACCUGAAGUGUGGAAUACUUGGUUCUUCACACUUCCGUAGGGAGAGCCAUCUAUUAUCAAGAAAAGCGACAUGGCGCGUGUCUGACUUUCCGGCAUCUGGUCUCUCUCAGAAUCUCAAAGUACCAAGUAAGCUCUACUUUGAAGCAAGUCCUUGAUUGUCCUCACUGGAUACAUGAAGUUUAUAAUGACAAGGAAAUAAGUAUUAAUGCUGUGUUUUCCAAGUACUUCUAGUUGAGUAAGGAACUCAGAGCCGUAGAAUUCCUGCAACCUCUAGCAGAAGUUGGUUUGUGUUUGCUUUCUUUUCUGGGGAUUGGUAGAAGGGGUUGAGGGAAGACUGGUGAUGGAGAUUAUACUGUUGGACUGCAACUUUAGUGUUAUCUUGUACACUUCUCGUCUCUGUAUUGCUUUGAUAUUAGGCUUGCAAGUAUUUUGGUUAUUAUAUACUGACAGUUUCUAGCAAUCUGAAUGGUGAAAGUUUUCUGAAUUAACUCGUAAUACUUUUAAGAUGGGGGGAUGGCAUCUCUGAAAUGAUCAUAUGGGGCAGUUGGAAA